UUGCAUUCGGAGUAAACUUAAAAAGAGGGGUUAUGAACUCCAAAGUUAGGAACACGACAACAGACAUGACAAUGUUGGAAAAUGCAGUUUGGCAGCCAGCCAUGUAGUUUACUGCUGAUCGAGAAAAGGAACCUGCAAGAGCUACAUAACAGGAUGUCAUCGAGCCAACGAUGUUCAUAGUUCCAAGUGCUACCAUCUCUUUGUUUCCAUCCAACUGGUAGUCCUUCAUUGAAGCAAAAGUUCUUCCAAUUGCAACAGCUUCCUAUGAAUGAAAAGGUAAUAGAUCAUACAUUUAGUACAGAAAUGUGUAAAGGUUCCUUCUUCGACAUUUCAUUCAAGAUUUGACUUACUGUCAAUGCAAUCACGCCAGCUACAAUACCAGUCCUAAUCCCUUUUAUGAGAUAGUCACCACUGAAAUAUAUUUUAUCGACAGAUGGAGGAUUGAUUCC